GGGCCCGCACAAGCAGUGGAGUAUGUGGUUUAAUUCGAAGCAACGCGAAGAACCUUACCAGGUCUUGACAUCCCAUGCAUAGCUAAGAGAUUAGUGAAGCCCUUCGGGGCAUGGAGACAGGUGGUGCAUGGUUGUCGUCAGCUCGUGUCGUGAGAUGUUGGGUUAAGUCCCGCAACGAGCGCAACCCUUGUUUUAGUUGCUACGCAAGAGCACUCUAGAGAGACUGCCGUUGACAAAACGGAGGAAGGUGGGGAUGACGUCAAAUCAUCAUGCCCCUUAUGACCUGGGCUACACACGUACUACAAUGGCAGCCAACAACGGGAAGCAAACCGGCGACGGUAAGCAAAUCCCCAAAAGCUGUCUCAGUUCGGAUCGCAGGCUGCAACCCGCCUGCGUGAAGUCGGAAUUGCUAGUAAUCGCGGAUCAGCAUGCCG
rnacentral:rRNA from 1 species